GACGAACGCUGGCGGCGUGCUUAACACAUGCAAGUCGAACGAUGAAGCAAAGAAUCGAAGCUUCGGCAGAAAUUCAUUUCGGAUUAGUGGCAGACGGGUGCGUAACGUGUGAGCAACCUUCCUUUUACAAAGGGAUAGCUUCGGGCAAACGGGAUUAAUACCAUAUAAGAUUGCGAUGAAGAAUUUCGAUGCAAUCAAAGGUACGCGGGUAAGAGAUGGGCUCGCGUCGCAUUAUCCGGAGGGUGAGGUAACGGCUCACCAUAGUGACGAUGGGUAACCGGGCUGGGAGGGUGAACGGUCACACUUGAGCUGAGACACAGUCCAGUCUCCGACGGAAGGCAGCAGUAUGGAAUAUUGCACGAUGGAGGGAACUCUGAUGCAGCGACGCCGCGGAAGUGAUGAAGGAAUUCGUAUCGUAAAACUCUGUGCUAUGAGAAGAGAAUGACGGUACCAGAGGAGAAAGCUCCGGCUAAAUACGUG
rnacentral:rRNA from 1 species